UACAGAGGGUGCAAGCGUUAAUCGGAAUUACUGGGCGUAAAGCGUGCGUAGACGGUUAUGUAAGUCAGGCGUGAAAGCCCAGGGCUCAACCUUGGAAUUGCAUUUGAGACUGCAUAGCUAGGGUGCGGAAGAGGGAAGCGGAAUUUCCGGUGUAGCGGUGAAAUGCGUAGAUAUCGGAAGGAACACCAGUGGCGAAAGCGGCUUCCUGGUCCAGCACCGACGUUCAGGCACGAAAGCGUGGGGAGCAAACAGG
rnacentral:rRNA from 1 species